AUUGAACGCUGGCGGCAGGCUUAACACAUGCAAGUCGAGCGGGGUGAUGGUGCUUGCACUAUCACUUAGCGGCGGACGGGUGAGUAAUGCUUAGGAAUCUGCCUAUUAGUGGGGGACGACAUCUCGAAAGGGAUGCUAAUACCGCAUACGUCCUACGGGAGAAAGCAGGGGAUCACUUGUGACCUUGCGCUAAUAGAUGAGCAUAAGUCGGAUUAGCUAGUUGGUGGGGUAAAGGCCUACCAAGGCGACGAUCUGUAGCGGGUCUGAGAGGAUGAUCCGCCACACUGGGACUGAGACACGGCCCAGACUCCUACGGGAGGCAGCAGUGGGGAAUAUUGGACAAUGGGGGGAACCCUGAUCCAGCCAUGCCGCGUGUGUGAAGAAGGCCUUAUGGUUGUAAAGCACUUUAAGCAAGGAGGAGGCUCUUUUGGUUAAUACCCAAGAUGAGUGGACGUUACUCGCAGAAUAAGCACCGGCUAACUCUGUGCCAGCCGCCGCAGUAA
rnacentral:rRNA from 1 species